rnacentral:rRNA from 1 species
GGGUAAAAACUCCGGUGGUAUGAGAUGGACCCGCGUCUGAUUAGGUAGUUGGUGGGGUAACGGCCUACCAAGCCGACGAUCAGUAGCCGACCUGAGAGGGUGACCGGCCACAUUGGGACUGAGACACGGCCCAAACUCCUACGGGAGGCAGCAGUGGGGAAUAUUGCACAAUGGGGGAAACCCUGAUGCAGCGACGCCGCGUGAGCGAUGAAGUAUUUCGGUAUGUAAAGCUCUAUCAGCAGGGAAGAAAAUGACGGUACCUGACUAAGAAGCACCGGCUAAAUACGUGCCAGCAGCCGCGGUAAUACGUAUGGUGCAAGCGUUAUCCGGAUUUACUGGGUGUAAAGGGAGCGUAGACGGAGUGGCAAGUCUGAUGUGAAAACCCGGGGCUCAACCCCGGGACUGCAUUGGAAACUGUCAAUCUAGAGUACCGGAGAGGUAAGCGGAAUUCCUAGUGUGGCGGUGAAAUGCGUAGAUAUUAGGAGGAACACCAGUGGCGAAGGCGGCUUACUGGACGGUAACUGACGUUGAGGCUCGAAAGCGUGGGGAGCAAACAGGAUUAGAUACCCUGGUAGUCCACGCCGUAAACGAUGACUACUAGGUGUCGGGCAGCAAAGCUGUUCGGUGCCGCAGCAAACGCAAUAAGUAGUCCACCUGGGGAGUACGUUCGCAAGAAUGAAACUCAAAGGAAUUGACGG